GAUGAACGCUGGCGGCGUGCCUAAUACAUGCAAGUCGAGCGAACAGACGAGGAGCUUGCUCCUCUUACGUUAGCGGCGGACGGGUUAGUAACACGUGGAUAACCUACCUAUAAGACUGGGAUAACUUCGGGAAACCGGAGCUAAUACCGGAUAAUAUAUUGAACCUCAUGGUUCAAUAGUGAAAGACGGUUUUGCUGCCACUUAUACAUGGAUCCGCGCCGCAUUAGCUAGUUGGUAAGGUAACGGCUUACCAAGGCAACGAUUCGUAGCCGACCUGAGAGGGUGAUCGACGACGCUGGAACUGAGACACGGUCCAGACUCCUACGAGAGGCAGCAGUAGGAAAACUUCCGCAAUGGGCGGAAGCUUGACGGAGCAACGCCGCGUGAGUGAUGAAGGUCGUCGGAUCGUAAAACUCUGUUAUUGGGGAAGAACAAAUGUGUAAGUACCUAUGCACGUCUUGACGGUACCUAAUCAGAAAGCCACGGCUGACUACGUG
rnacentral:rRNA from 1 species